CAUAAAGACACUACCUUGCCAAUAUGCCAUGAUUAGCAGGCUGGAGCCGUCGCAGAGACCAGCCCAGAGCUUGGCCUACGUCUAAAUCCAUAAUUGGAGCAGUGGGGACGCCACCACUUGGUAUGCCUAUCCUUUAGUACUGGAAAGAAGGUUGAGGAAAAAAUCUCUUAAGAAUUCCAAGGCAAUUUUGCAUUGAACCAAGCUAUAAUAACUUGUAACGCUUUAGAAGAUUUGGAUGAUGGACCCAACUGACGCUAAGUACUCACACAGUAGCCAGCAUUCAACUCAACUCAAAGGAGAAUAGCCACUAGUAAUUUAUGUAAUGACUUCCUUAAGAUGGAAUAAUUACCACAUCAGGAUGCAUGUCUAAUUCCCUCUAAAUAGGCUAUUAAAUGUAUAAUAAAUAUUGUAUUUCUAAGAUAUAGUUACAGUAGUUAUAGUUAAGUCGUUGAAACAAAA